AUUGAACGCUGGCGGCAUGCCUAACACAUGCAAGUCGAACGGCAGCACGGCAGUAGCAAUACUGUGGGUGGCGAGUGGCGGACGGGUGAGGAAUACGUCGGAAUCUGCCCAGUCGUGGGGAUAACUAGCCGAAAGGUUAGCUAAUACCGCAUACGACCGAGAGGUGAAAGCGGGGGACCGCAAGGCCUCGCGCGAUUGGAUGAGCCGACGUCGGAUUAGCUAGUUGGUGGGGUAAAGGCCCACCAAGGCGACGAUCCGUAGCUGGUCUGAGAGGGAUGAUCAGCCACACUGGAACUGAGACACGGUCCAGACUCCUACGGGAGGCAGCAGUGGGGAAUAUUGGACAAUGGGCGCAAGCCUGAUCCAGCAAUGCCGCGUGUGUGAAGAAGGCCUUCGGGUUGUAAAGCACUUUUAUCAGGAACGAAAAGCGUUGGAUUAAUACUCUGACGUGCUGACGGUACCUGAGGAAUAAGCACCGGCUAACUUCGUG
rnacentral:rRNA from 1 species